AUCAUGACCUGGGCUCUUCUCCUGCUCAGCCUCCUCAGUCAGGGCCCAGGAACCUGGGCCCAGAAUGUCCUGACUCAGCCUCCCUCAGUGUCUGGGACUCAGGGACAGACAGUCACCAUCUCCUGUACAGGAACCAGCAAUGACAUUGGGGCAUAUAAUGAUGUCUCCUGGUACCAGCAGCAGGAGGGCACAGCCCCCAAAAUGCUGAUUUAUAAUGUCAAUAAGCGGCCAUCAGGGAUCCCUGAUCGCUUCUCUGGCUCCAAGUCUGGCAACACAGCAACCCUGACCAUCUCUGGGCUCAAGCCUGAGGACGAGAAUGAUUAUUACUGUAGCUCAUAUACAAGAAGUAGCACUUUCCACAGUAGCUGCUGUACACAGGGAAGACUUUGUGCUCUGCCUGUGGUGAUCCAGACCCCUUCUGCCUCUGCUUCACCUUGGGCCUCAGCCAAGUUCACCUGCACCUUAAGCCAGGAGCACAGCAACUUCUUCAUUGAGUGGUAUCAACAGAUUCAAGGCAAAGCCCCAACUUACCUGAUGCGAGUUAAAAGUGAUGGAACCUUCAGCAAAGGGGACAAUGUUCCUGAUCGCUUCUCAGGCUCCAGCUCAGGGGCUGACCGCUACUUAGCCAUCUCAAACAUCCAAUCUGUGGAUGAGGCUGAAUACUACUGUGGUGUAAGCUAUACGAAUGAUGGCAAAUUUUGGUAUCCACAGUGA